GUCAUUCUAUAAAUGCUGUCCGUUUAAAUGGUCUUACCUGUAACACUGCUGUAUCCACCGGAUUCCAGCCAGAGUGGAUUCUGGAGUCUUCCACGCUCCUGUUAGUGAUCCUCCAUCUGGAUGGAUGAUAACAACCUUCUGAACAAUCUAGCAGGGGCAGAGGGGACUGGAGAGAAUGGCACUCUUCAGUCUUCAGUAUCCAGAGGUGAGGUCAUCAUACAAGUGAAUACUGAAAAUCGGGAUGUUGAGCACCCAGCCCACCAAGAUCAAGUGAAGCUGCAAGAUCAAGAGAUGAUAGACAGAGACCCAUCGACCAAAGGAGAAGCCAUGAGGAAAGGUGAGAACAGGUGAGUUUACAGACAUGACGAUUCAGGUGCAAAUUCUGAUUCUUAACAUCUUUUUUCCCUACAGGCCUCCCAACUGGAAGCUGGAUGAGCAGCACAAAGCAGUCGUGGCUAUUGGUUGAGGCCAGGGGCAAGAUGAAGGCUGCAGUCAGAGUUCGGGGUGGGAUGGAGGCUGCAGUCAGGGCCGGGGCGAGAUAGAGGCUGCAAUCAUGGGUGGGGGCAACAUGGAGGCUGUGGCCAUGGGCGAGAAUCAGGCUGCAGUCGUGGGUGGGGGCGAGAUGGAGGUUGCAGUCACGGGUGGGGGCGAGAUUAAGGCUGCAGUUGCAGCCUCGAAUGUAAUCAGAGCUGUGAAGGAGGCUCUCGGUUUAAUCUGAACACAGACUAAAACUUAUCCAGACUGGUCCCAGCCCACCUGCAGAUUGAAGUUAAUAAGCCAACCUCCAGUGGGAGUAGUUCAGCCUCCAGCCAAACACCAGCUCUUCUUCUUCUUACUCACCCAUCACCGAUCGCUUCAACCAACACUGAAAAUAAAAUAAGAUUUAUUGUUGAAUUUUUUUCAGCCCCUCUCAAUAUUAUUAUGUUUACCAAGCC
ensembl:lncRNA